CAUCGCGAUGCUCCUCAGAUUGAGGAGUAUCGUGAUGAGAAUGCUAUCGAAGCGCCAGGUGAAGGAGCUUGUCCUCUACUCGCCGCAACACAUUGCGAGGCUGGAAGCAGCCGGCAAAUUCCCCAAGCGGGUACAGCUCGGCAGCAACCGAGUCGGAUGGGUUGAGGAGGAAGUGCUGGACUGGCUUCGAGCCAGGAUCGACGCCAGAGAUGCAUCGCAAGACACUCCUUGAGUGGAGCGAGAGAGCCGGCCGGAACGCCGGC
rnacentral:ncRNA from 1 species